GACUGAGACACCCACCCUGCAAGACAGAGCGCUACCGCAGGGAUCCAGGAUUCGCACAACGUGCUUUUCUGAGCAGCUGAUCAGGGUCUUCUGUAAGGAGAUUGAUGACGAGAGUGUGGAGGCUGCCAAAAAGCACUUUAAACAGUGGUUAAGGUGCUGGUUAAGCUCUACUCUAAUUCUGCAAAACAUUGUCUCUGGAAAUAUCUACAAGUUUGUUGGUGAGAGAAAGCCAGCGGACCCCAUCGAGGAUUGGGAAGUAAGUCUGUGUUCUUGUGUUUCAUUACAUUUAUAACACAUGAUCUAAUCACCUUAACCUAGUUAUUGAAAAGGUUGUUGCUGAACAACUGGUAGCCCAUCUUAAUAUUGAAAAUCUACUGCACCCUAUGCAAUUUGGGUUUCGAGCAAACCA